rnacentral:tRNA from 1 species
AGUCCUGUGGCCUAGCGGCGAAGGCACCUGCCCUGUCUUCAGAAAACACAGGCACCCAGUCGAUCCACGGUUCGAGUCCGUCCAGGACUA